AGAUUUUGGAGAGUGUAAUGGAGUAAUGCAACCACCAACUUGUACUGAUCAGUUUUCAAUAAAUCAUCAUCAUGAAUGCACAGCUGCAGGGAACCACAGCAAAUGGGAGCUGAGGGAGCAGCACCUGCAGGUGUGGGCAACACCCAGAGCUACGUGGUCGCGCCUCCACUUAGGAACCGGAAGGAGAUGUCACUGCUUCCCGGGAGCCGCCUGAGGUGGCAAACAAGUCAUUAGGGGAAUGCCUCCCCCCAUUGGAAGAUGUCCCUCACAAUGUCUGGCUGGGGAGACCACUCAUGGUGAGUGGAGAAAAACCUGCUGAGGUGAUCUCCCAGCUGGUUGUGUGCUCCUGGGAGGUAGGAUGCCUCCAGGCUGAUGGACUGAGCAAUGCAGAAUUGCCACAGGUGGAUUGCUUCCUGAUAUGGAGGAGGGGAAACAACGCGCACCACCCUGCCUGUUUAUGUAGAACACAGCCGUCAUAUUGUCCGUGAGAACCGAAACAGUCUUGCCCGUCAUGUGAGGUAAAAAUGCCUGGCAGGCCAGACACACCACCCUGAGCUCCCUGACACUGAUGUGGAGGGAAAGCUCAUCUUGGGACCAAAGGCCCUCAGUCCUGAGGAACCUUAGGUGGACUCCCCAGCCAAGGGCUGAUGCAUCAGACACUAGGAACAACGGUUAAAGUCUUGAGAAGGGUACCCUGCACAUACCGUGUGGCUGUUUUGCCAUCAUGACAGUGAGCUGAGGACUGGGUAGAUACCAUAAGCACUGGGUCCAGGUGAUGACAAAAGGAGAAGUAUACGAUGGCCAGCCAGACUGGGAGAGGUCUGAGACAUAGCCUUGCAUGUUGCACUACGUACGUGCAUGAUGCCACAUAGCCCAGGAGGCUCAGACAUUUUCAUACGGUUGUGAUCAGAUGAGCCUGGAGGGACCUAUCAGGGAUGUCUGGAAGUAGAACUCUUGCUUGCUCAGAGUCAAGUACCAGACUGAUGAACUCCAUCCUUUGGAUUGGGAUAAGGGUGGACUUCUGGAUGUUCAACAAAAGACCUAACAUUCUGAAGGUCAAUUGAAUGAGACAGAUGUUUGCUUCCACUUGAGCUCUGGAUCGGCCCUUGACCAUGUCUCCGGCAGCACCACAGCCAGAGAGUAAUUUGGUUCCCCAUGGCUACUUCCUAUACUCCCCUUCGGUGUACCUGCAACCAAAGGUCUUCCGUAGGGUUGCCAACUUUCUAUUGACUAGCCAGUCAUUGAGGUAUGAAAAUACAUGGACUUCCUUUCUUCUGAGAAAGGCUGCUACUAUUGCCAUGCAUUUGGUGAAGACUUGCGGGGCGGCUAACAGGCCAAAUGGAAUCACCACAAACUGGUAGUGAACUUGGUUCACUACAAAUCUUAGGAAACGUCUGUUGCCAUGGAACUGUCUGAGCAAUGAAGGGUUCCAGCAACCAUCACGGGUGGUAAGAAGGAACUGAAGGGGUAGUGGGGUCAGCAGGGCCAUUUAUAACGGCGCUAUGAGAGCAUGGCACCAGAAGCCGCCGGAGCCGAUCCAACGGAUACUGUUGAGGAGAAAAAUUCCAGCAACUGUGCUUGGGGCACACACACACCUACAUUGGAAUGGACAUAUGCAAGCACCUGAGGAAUAAAUAACUUCUUGCAAAUUCUUUAAGCAGAUGGUCUCAGACAUCCUGAUUAACAAGAAGUAUCAUUGUGGGAGAUCUGGGCAUGAAGCAGGUAGCUACUUUUUCCUCUCCCCAUAUGGAGAUUUAGAAUGUAUCAGGGGAGUCCUGCAAAUCACUCAUCCAGACAACAAGAGUUGCUGCAAUUGUGUCAGGCCAAAAACUAACACAAAGUGCACCAAAAGUACAAAAUCACAGACAUCAAAAGCCUCAAAUGAAGUCACUGUAGGAAAACUAAUGUCAUCAGUCAAUAUAUUAUUAUUCCUGGGGGAAUUCUGUGCCGCCACACAAUGCAGAAUUUUGCAGAAAUUAAAGCUGUGCAUAGAAUUUCCUUUCCUCCACAGAAAUGGGCUGCAGUGCUGCUAGCCAC